GGGCCAUGUCGGUUAUUUGGGGUCUACGGGCCACGUCAGUUAUUUGGGGUCUGCGGGCCGCGUCGGUUAUUUGAGGUCUGCGGGCCGCGUCGGUUAUUUGGGGUCUGUAAGCUAUGUCGGUUAUUUGGGGUCUGCGGGCCGUGUUGGUUCGGUUAUUUGGGGUCUGUAAGCUGUGUUGGUUAUUGGAGGUCUGCGGGCCACGUCGGUUAUUUGGGGUCUGCGGGCCGCGUCAGUUCGGUUAUUUGGGGUCUGUAAGCUGUGUCGGUUAUUUGAGGUCUGCGGGCUGUGUCGGUUAUUUGGGGUCUGCGGGCCGCGUCAGUUAUUUGGGGUCUAUAAGCUGUGUCAGUUAUUUGGGGUCUGCGGGCCGCGUCAGUUAUUUGGGGUCUAUAAGCUGUGUCAGUUAUUUGGGGUCUGCGGGCCGUGUCGGUUCGGUUAUUUGGGGUC
rnacentral:lncRNA from 1 species